UGGGGAAUUUUGGACAAUGGGCGCAAGCCUGAUCCAGCCAUGCCGCGUGUCUGAAGAAGGCCUUCGGGUUGUAAAGGACUUUUGUCAGGGAAGAAAAGGAUAGGGUUAAUACCCCUGUCUGAUGACGGUACCUGAAGAAUAAGCACCGGCUAACUACGUGCCAGCAGCCGCGGUAAUACGUAGGGUGCGAGCAUUAAUCGGAAUUACUGGGCGUAAAGCGGGCGCAGACGGUUACUUAAGCAGGAUGUGAAAUCCCCGGGCUCAACCUGGGAACUGCGUUCUGAACUGGGUGACUAGAGUGUGUCAGAGGGAGGUAGAAUUCCACGUGUAGCAGUGAAAUGCGUAGAGAUGUGGAGGAAUACCGAUGGCGAAGGCAGCCCCCUGGGAUAACACUGACGUUCAUGCCCGAAAGCGUGGGUAGCAAACAGGAUUAGAUACCCUGGUAGUCCACGCCCUAAACGAUGUCGAUUAGCUGUUGGGCAGCUUGACUGCUUAGUAGCGAAGCUAACGCGUGAAAUCGACCGCCUGGGGAGUACGGUCGCAAGAUUA
rnacentral:rRNA from 1 species